AGAAGAUAGCACAGUGAUAAAAAACAUGGUAGCUUGAAAACCUGAUAAUGAAAGGGCUAAUAAAUAAAACUACUAGUAAAUAAAUAUUUUUAAUAAAACAUAUAAAAACAAGAAAUUGAACAAUAAACAACAUGAAACAGUUGAUUGACUUGUAUGCAAAAUACAGGAAUGAAGUUGGUACUUUCAAAGUAAAAAUGGUUAAAAUUAUGAAGCUGAAGAAAGCCACAGAGUUUAAAAGUAUUAGCAUCCAAAGAACACCAACAUUAUGAAUUAGUGAAAGGUAGCAGAAAGAAGCUUCAGAACAUAUGCGGAUAACCAGAAUAAAACAGGUUGAAGUAGUAACUUGAAACUGAUUUGCCAACUAAGAUGUUAAAAUGCAAAUAGUAGAAAACAAGAUUAAUUGCAAUGAGUAUUUGCUCUUUGAAUGGAUCAAUAUGACUUGAAAAUCUUACUAAUCUCCUUUUAUUCAAUAUGUAGUAAGAAAGCUGCAAAUAAUUAUUUGUAUAGCUUCAGGACAAAUGACUCCAAAAUACAAGAACAAUGAAAAGCAAUUGACCGGCUCGGCUGACUUAAGAAAUGGUUAAAAUGGACUGGAGAAGUCAUUAACACGAUAGAUAGGAGCAAAAAUGGAUUCACUAUGUAAAAAUCAAGUUCAUUUCCUCCAAGAACUCCAUAUCACAAGGAAACCGAAAAAGAAUUGACCGGUUGGCUUAAGAAAUGGUUAAAAUGGAUUAGAAAAGACCUUAUCACGAUAGAUGAGAGCAAAAAAUGGAUUCACUAUGUUAAUUUGGUGAUAACCUUUGUACCGUUUGAAGGUGUUUUGGAGGUUAGUAUAUUUCCUGUGAUCUCAUAUUUUUAUUCUUAGUUCUUUCAUUAGCUCUAUUCAUCUUAGUUUUUUCUCAGUUUUCAAUGGUGUAGUGUACAUGUCUUCAUUCUUAUAAUAUAUACAUAUCAAUUCAGCUUAUCCUAAUUAAUUUUCUUUCGAAUGUUUAAUUAUCAUUGGGUUAAGGUAUGUUUUCUCUUUAUUGUCAUAUAUUCUGUUGUGUAGGUUAUAGUUGGUACUGUUGUAAAUUUAUUUGUUCUUUUAGCUGGGUUUCUGUCUUCUAUUGGUACCAUACUAAGGUAUCCUUAUGUCGUUAUUCUCCCUGAAGUUUUAUCUUCAGAUUUGAUUUCUUUUGAUUUACAUUUAUUAUUUCAACUAAUUAGUUUUGUCAUUUUUCUUAUUUCUAAGGAUCAGAUAUCCAUUAAUUUUUUGAUUCUAUUUUUAAAAUUAACUAUAACAUUACAUCGUCUGCAAAAAUCAGCAUUUUUAUAGGUUAUGUUUUUAUAUUCAAUUCUAUUCAGAUCUUCACAUUUUAUAAAUUUAUUUGAAUCUAUCUCUCCUAGGAGUGACCAUCCCAAAUGAUCUAGCGGGCCACUUUGGAAAUACUUCGUGAUCCCGCGGGCCACGUAUUUUUUUUAAAGAAAAUAGAAAAAAAAGCCAUUCUGUAUACAAAUAAUACAAUAAGUUAUUGUGUUGAUAUUUCGGCGAGCCACACAUAAAAUUAUAUUAGUAUUAAUACAAAUAAAUACCAAAAACUUGGGAGUUAACAUUUUAAACAGAAUUAAUUAUUAUUAUAAAAUAACCAUUUAAUAAUAAGUAUUUAAUAAUUUCACUAUUCAGUGAUUUAGUGAGAUAUUUGUUUUUCGAAUUUUCACUAAGCUUUUGUAAAUCAGCAGAAAUGCUUGUAUUUUCAGAUUUCUCAAAAGUGAAAACAAUACUAUUUGCUCGUAUAUGUUUUUUUCAGAUUAGAUUAUUAUUUUUACUUUUGUUGCGAUUCCGCGUUUUCAGGCAUUCCAGAAUAGACUAUUGGUACAAUAAUAAUUUUUUUUUAAAUGUUUGAUAAAUUUCUAAGCCGCCAAACUCUCCCAGGCAGGCCGCGGGUUGGACAUCCCUAGCCAAAGAACACCUCUGAGAUGAAGAGGAGGCGCUCCAUUAUGUUAGAAACAAAGAAAUCUAAACAAAAUGAGUAUUUACAUAUUGUAGUCUAUGAGUUCUUAGCCUAACAUAGAAAAGAAUAAUUUAAUAAAAUAAAACCAAUAUUAUAUCAUUAUAAAACCAGUAUAAACAAAAUGACUCAUUUUAUUUUCUCAGCUGUUGAUAUCAACGCAACGGUUGUAAUAAAAACAUUUUCCUACUUCCCUCACAUCAAUGGUCAAUAUAUAUUUGCCUUUAUCUGGCAAUAAAAAAAUAAUUGAAAAUUGUCAAAUAUUGUAGGGGAUAUCUCGUUUAAAAUAUACAAUUUUUUUAUAUUCUUUGGAACUACAUUUGGCAUUUGCUGGUCUGUCGACGAUAUUAUAUAUCCAAAAUGAUGCUACUCUAUUUCACAGGUUAACAUAUUUACGUGUGUACUCUGUAUUUAACUAUUGCAUAUUUGUUAUUGGUAUUUGUUUAAUGAACAGGACAAAAUUUUUAAAUAAAUAUUUUUUUAAACACAUCAAAAGGCUUAGUAUCUGAGCAUAAAUAAAGAAAGUGUUCUUUUUAGGUCUUUCCAAUAUUGAUAUGCUCCAUCUUUUGAAUGUCAACUACAAUUCAUUGAUGGAAACACAAAUAAUAAUGAAAGAAAAUUUGUAGGAUGCCACUUCAAAUUAUUGUAUUCAUUAUUUGACAGGAAAAUGAUUUCUAUACUCAGUUGAAGAGUUGCAGUAUAGGAGCUAGUAACGUUUUUGAGAGAGAAUUCCAGGUCAGUUGAUUUUUUGAUAUGUCGUUCUUCUUACUCUUUCGGUUAGAGUCUGAGCUACCUGGCUAGCAGUAGCGGUUGCGUUUGUUAAUGCGCGUCCUACCUGUACAAGUAAUAAUCCUGAAUUUUUGAAUAAUUAUUGAACGCGUUAUUUUUAAAGUUUUUGUCUUUAGAUAGGUCUCCCAGACAUAUAUUUUUUAUUGCCAGACAUUUUCAGUGUGCAAAUUUUUUAUUUCUUAAAAUCAAAAAUUCGAAACAUUUCAGAAUGUCCGUAUUUUUUAUAUUGUAUUCUUUGAAGAUAAAAUAAUCUAAAGAUGAUUUGCCAAAAAAAUUAAAAACUCAUGUAAAGUAUUGCCGUAUGAUGCUAGUAGUCAGAGAGAAAGAGAGAGAGAGUUGUAGAAUAUGAUCAAGAAUGAGAGAAAAUAAUUUCAAAAGUACGUUACUUACAUUCGUUCUAUUUAUAACAAAUUUAUAUAUAAGAAAUUAAAACAUUGGAACAGAAAUAAAAUUGGAAUAAAGUUCAAUUAGAGAGAAGAAAA